rnacentral:rRNA from 1 species
UACAGAGGUGUCAAACGUUGUCCGGAAUUACUGGGCGUAAAGGGCUCGUAGGCGGCCAACUAAGUCAGACGUGAAAUCCCUCGGCUUAACCGGGGAACUGCGUCUGAUACUGGAUGGCUUGAGUUUGGGAGAGGGAAGCGGAAUUUCCGGUGUAGCGGUGAAAUGCGUAGAUAUCGGAAGGAACAUCAGUGGCGAAAGCGGCUUCCUGGACCAGUACCGACGUUCAGGCACGAAAGCGUGGGGAGCAAACAGG